rnacentral:rRNA from 1 species
CUCGUAGGCGGCCAACUAAGUCAGACGUGAAAUCCCUCGGCUUAACCGGGGAACUGCGUCUGAUACUGGGUGGCUUGAAUCCGGGAGAGGGAUGCGGAAUUCCAGGUGUAGCGGUGAAAUGCGUAGAUAUCUGGAGGAACACCGGUGGCGAAGGCGGCAUCCUGGACCGGUAUUGACGCUGAGGAGCGAAAGCCAGGGGAGCAAACGG